rnacentral:rRNA from 1 species
AGUGAACGCUGGCGGUAGGCCUAACACAUGCAAGUCGAACGGCAGCACAGGAGAGCUUGCUCUCUGGGUGGCGAGUGGCGGACGGGUGAGGAAUACAUCGGAAUCUACUUUUUCGUGGGGGAUAACGUAGGGAAACUUACGCUAAUACCGCAUACGACCUACGGGUGAAAGCAGGGGACCUUCGGGCCUUGCGCGAUUGAAUGAGCCGAUGUCGGAUUAGCUAGUUGGCGGGGUAAGGGCCCACCAAGGCGACGAUCCGUAGCUGGUCUGAGAGGAUGUUCAGCCACACUGGAACUGAGACACGGUCCAGACUCCUACGGGAGGCAGCAGUGGGGAAUAUUGGACAAUGGGCGCAAGCCUGAUCCAGCCAUACCGCGUGGGUGAAGAAGGCCUUCGGGUUGUAAAGCCCUUUUGUUGGGAAAGAAAUCCAGCUGGCUAAUACCCGGUUGGGAUGACGGUACCCAAAGAAUAAGCACCGGCUAACUUCGUGCCAGCCGCCGCUGUAA